rnacentral:rRNA from 1 species
GAGCUAUCAAUCUGUCAAUCCUUCUGGUGUCCGGGCCUGGUGAGAUUUCCCGUGUUGAGUCAAAUUAAGCCACAGGCUCCACUCCUGGUGGUGCCCUUCCGUCAAUUCCUUUAAGUUUCAGCUUUGCAACCAUACUUCCCCUGGAACCCACACGCUUUGGUUUCCCGGAAGCUCCCUGUCAAGUCAAAAUAAAACGCCGACAGAUCGCUAGCUGGCAUCGUUUAUGGUUAGAACUAGGGCGGUAUCUAAUCGCCUUCGAACCUCUAACUUUCGUUCUUGAUUAAUGAAAACAUUCUUGGCAAAUGCUUUCGCAGUAGUUUGUCUUCAAACGGUCCAAGAAUUUCACCUCUGUCGUUUGAAUACAAAUGCCCCCGACUGUCCCUAUUAAUCAUUAAGUCGAUUUCCGAAAACCAACAAAAUAGAAACGACUUCCUAUUCUAUUAUUCCAUGCACGAAUAUUCAAGCGAUUAAGCUUGCUUUGAGCACUCUAAUUUUUUCAAAGUAAACCUGCCAGCUCUAACAGACACUCGGCGAAGAGCACCCGUUAAAUUCUGGCAAAACACACGGGCAAAAUAGUCAGUGUUGAAACAAUUCAAACCAACCAAUGCCCGCCGAAAUCCAACUACGAGCUUUUUAACCACAACAACUUUAAUAUACGCUAUUGGAGCUGGAAU